GGGCCCAAGUUUCCACCUGCACUCGCCUUUGCUUAUCAGUUCCCAACACUUCCUGUCUCACCACCGCGCUGCUUGCAUAUCGAAGUAUUACAAGGUGCAAGAUCCACUGUUGCACAAGACGCGUGUUAGUCAAGUGUGGACCUGAAUGACCUCUUCCAGGGAAGAAAUCGCAAUUCACGUCGCAACGAAUAAAACCGCAUAAACUCUGACAGUGAGAGGAUUUGGACCUGGGAGCGCUAUACGCAUGAACAAGUUGAACAAUCUCUCCGUUGCAACCUACCGAUGACACCGAUGCCAAUUCCAUCCGAGAACAUCUCGGCACUCAGAGGCUUCAUAAAAGAUGUUCUCAGACGUUACCGUAACCAUAAAACUGCAGUUGUUUUAAAACAGCAAAAGAGAAUUAAACGACUCCAUCACAUCAGCGGGCAGCUUUAUGGAUGAAGCACAACAGCGAGAGCAGCGAAGACACCAUGUGCUCGGAUCCGAAAAUGAUUUCUGGCGCUCUGCUGGUCUUAUGAUGACAACCAUGUGUCGGCCACGUGGCGCUUUUGCUGUACUUCUGUAACAUUUUCAUGUUUCUUUCAAGACGCAGUGGGUAAAAGAUAAGAUAAUAACAACAGUUGACAUAGUUGGAAAAAAAACACACACACAACUGCAACAAAUUGGGAAUAACCAAAAUAACCGUAACACUCCCACACCCACUAAAAGUACAUUUUUAUUGCUGUGCUGUAUUGACGGAUUUAUGUAUUAUAUCACUAUCUCAUUGUUAUCUGUUUGUCUACACGUUAAAAAUAGUUUGUACUUUGAGCUAACAGGAAAUAAACACAAUUGUCCACUUCAACAACAACAGAAAUAACAGCAAAAUGUUUUUUUUUAAAUAAGUAACAUUUCCUUGCCAAUGUUGCCGUCAAAUUUGCACAUCCAUAUUAUUGACAGUUUUUACUAAUUAUACAUGGUAGAACCAAGGAUCGGUAAUUACAGUAAUUUGUACUCCUCUGGUCACGAAUAACGGGCAGCUAUUUUGCCACAAUGGAUUUGAAACAACAACAAUUACAAACCGCCACUACAGCAAUAAUUAUCAUUUAUUUAACAUUUUUUGACAGAGCAUUAUCUGUCUUGACUGUCCAUUUUUUUCUCGCGGUGAGCAACUCGUUUUAUAUCCUCUGUACAGUAUUGACAUUUGUGGAGGUAUUUGUUGACUGCUGAUUUAAGCAAUGAUACACUGCGGUGGUUUCUGGCAGCCGCAAGACGUGUGGCUGCGCGGGCGGAGAAACAGUUUUCUAUUGGCACCGUGACAAGGAAAUCAUUGACGUGUUGUCGAGCGCUUGAUUAAAAACACAAGCUAACCGGUGACGGAGAUCUUGUUAUUGAUUGACAGCAGACAAUCGCAAGUUGCGAUCUUCUCAACUGUUUUUUGGCACAAAUGAGUUGGGAGUACAUCAAACUAGGCUAAGAGGAAGUAGCUAUUCCUGGGAAAAUGUCACUCUUUUGGUCUACUAAAAGUUUGACUCAUUUUAAUGUCAUUAAGUUUUUUUUUUGUUGUUGUUUUUUUUUGGAUAAUGUAUUUAAGGGGGCACGGCGACUCAGCUGGUAAUGCGUUGGCCUUACAGAUCUGAGGUUCCGGGUUCAAUCCUGGACCCACCUAUGUGGAGUUUGUAUGUUCUCCACGUGCCUACGUGGAUUUUCUAAGGGCACUCCGGUUUCCUCCCACAUACCAAAAACAUUCUAAAUUGCCCCUAGGUGUGAUUGUGAGUGCGGCUGUUUGUUUCCGUGUGCCCUGCAAUUGGGUCACGACCAGUUCAGGGUGUACCCUGCCUCCUGCCCGUUGACAGCUGGGAUAGGCUAACUCCCCGCGACCCUCGUGAGGAUAAGCGACAAAAGAAAACGGAUGGAUGGAUUAUGUAUUUACUUUUUGACCAAUAACAGGAUUCUGGCAUCAUGUAUUUUUGUGAUCUCAUUUUUGCUGUUCACGUGUAUUUUCCGUCUUCAUUUUGGUGUGCUGAACAUUUCUCAAAUGCGGAUGGUACCGAAUUUUGAUAAUUCACCAUCAAUCGGCCUUUAAAUGUACAUUGGAGUUGUGUAUUUAGCCUAUUCAUGCUUCAUGCUCCAGACGGAAGCACGUGAGCCCUGUCUAAACACUGGAUCUGAAACUCGGGCAAAACAAGAGGCUUUGGCCUGCGGGUUUAUGGCUGUGGCCCCUUAAAUGCUGGAACUAUAUGACAUAAGACUUCCACAGUGGUUUCCCCGGGGGAAUUAGUUUUGAGGUCAUAGCACACAAGCCUAAAGUCAACCAUUGAUUUGGGGAAACAGUUCCCUAGUACACGCUCUUUUUGGAACAAAACAAGACCCCCACUGUCUGAUACACAACCUCAGAUUUAGGCAAAUCCAUUAAAUGUUUAAGACGGCCAAGCCAGUAAAUUGACCUUAACGCAAUAGAGAAUGCUUUUUUUUUUUUUUUUUUUUUGGUCUGGGAGGAAAUUUUGAAUUUGCUGA